AUUGAACGCUGGCGGCAGGCCUAACACAUGCAAGUCGAGCGGAUGAAGGGAGCUUGCUCCUGGAUUCAGCGGCGGACGGGUGAGUAAUGCCUAGGAAUCUGCCUGGUAGUGGGGGAUAACGUCCGGAGACGGGCGCUAAUACCGCAUACGUCCUGAGGGAGAAAGUGGGGGGUCUUCGGACCUCACGCUCUCAGAUGAGCCUAGGUCGGAUUAGCUAGUUGGUGGGGUAAGGGCCUACCAAGGCGACGAUCCGUAACUGGUCUGAGAGGAUGAUCAGUCACACUGGAACUGAGACACGGUCCAGACUCCUACGGGAGGCAGCAGUGGGGAAUAUUGGACAAUGGGCGAAAAUCUGAUCCAGCCAUGCCGCGUGUGUGAAGAAGGUCUUCGGAUUGUAAAGCACUUUAAGGGGGGAGGAAGGGCAGUAAGUUAAUACCUUGCUGUUUUGACGGUACCAACAGAAGAAGCACCGGCUAACUUCGUG
rnacentral:rRNA from 1 species